rnacentral:misc_RNA from 1 species
UUUCCGUAGGUGAACCUGCGGAAGGAUCGUUAAAGAGUAAGGGUCUUCGGGCCCGAUCUCCAACCCUUUGUUUAACUACCAUGUUGCUUUGGCGGGCCCGUCUCACGACCGCCGGAAGUUUGGCUUCGACCAAACUUCUGGCCCGUGCCCGUCAGUGGCCCCUUCAAAUUCUUGAUCAAGUAUGAUGUCUUAGUUAAAAACUUAAUAGUUAAAACUUUCAACAACGGAUCUCUUGGUUCUG